rnacentral:rRNA from 1 species
CCUACGGGAGACUGCAGUGGGGAAUAUUGGGCAAUGGAGGCAAGUCUGACCCAGCAACGCCGCGUGAAUGAUGAAGGCCCUCGGAUUGUAAAGUUCUUUUCGAAGGGAAGAAGAAAGUGACGGUACCUUAGGAAUAAGCCACGGCAAACUACGUGCCAGCAGCCGCGGUAAUACGGAGGAGGCAAGCGUUAUCCGUAAUGACUGGGCGUAAAGGGUGCGUAGGUGGGUGGACAAGUUAGUAGCGUAACCCCGGGGCUCAACUUCGGAACUGCUACUGAAACUGUGUGUCUCGAGUGCAGGAGAGGCAACUGGAAUUUCUAGUGUAGCGGUGGAAUGCGUAGAUAUUAGGAAGAACACCAGUGGCGAAGGCGAGUUGCUGGACAGUAACUGACGCUGAGGCACGAAAGCGUGGGGAGCAAACAGGAUUAGAUACCCGUGUAGUC